rnacentral:rRNA from 1 species
GGGGAAUCUUGCACAAUGGAGGAAACUCUGAUGCAGCGACGCCGCGUGAGUGAUGAAGCCCUUCGGGGUGUAAAGCUCUUUCGACCCGGAAGAUUAUGACGGUACGGGGAGAAGAAGCCCCGGCUAACUCCGUGCCAGCAGCCGCGGUAAUACGGGGGGGGCAAGCGUUGUUCGGAAUUACUGGGCGUAAAGGGCUCGUAGGCGGCCAACUAAGUCAGACGUGAAAUCCCUCGGCUUAACCGGGGAACUGCGUCUGAUACUGGAUGGCUUGAGUGUGGGAGAGGGAUGCGGAAUUCCAGGUGUAGCGGUGAAAUGCGUAGAUAUCUGGAGGAACACCGGUGGCGAAGGCGGCAUCCUGGACCAUUACUGACGCUGAAUAGCGAAAGCCAGGGGAGCAAAC